UACGUAGGGUGCAAGCGUUAAUCGGAUUUACUGGGCGUAAAGGGCGCGCAGGCGGCGGAUCAAGUCAGAUGUGAAAGCCCCGGGCUUAACCUGGGAACUGCAUUUGGGACUGGUUUGCUAGAGAUCGGGAGAGGAGAGUGGAAUUCCCAGUGUAGAGGUGAAAUUCGUAGAUAUUGGGAAGAACACCGGUGGCGAAGGCGGCUCUCUGGACCGAUACUGACGCUGAGGCGCGAAAGCGUGGGGAGCAAACAGG
rnacentral:rRNA from 1 species